GAGAGUUUGAUCCUGGCUCAGGAUGAACGCUGGCGGCGUGCUUAACACAUGCAAGUCGAACGAACCUUCGGGUUAGUGGCGGACGGGUGAGUAACGCGUGGGAAUCUGCCCUCAGGAGGGGGAUAACGGUUGGAAACGGCCGCUAAUACCCCAUAUGCCGAGAGGUGAAAUGAAUUUCGCCUGAGGAUGAGCCCGCGUCUGAUUAGCUAGUUGGUGAGGUAAGAGCUCACCAAGGCAUCGAUCAGUAGCUGGUCUGAGAGGAUGAUCAGCCACACUGGGACUGAGACACGGCCCAGACUCCUACGGGAGGCAGCAGUGGGGAAUUUUCCGCAAUGGGCGAAAGCCUGACGGAGCAACGCCGCGUGAGGGAUGAAGGCCUCUGGGCUGUAAACCUCUUUUAUCAAGGAAGAAGAUCUGACGGUACUUGAUGAAUAAGCCACGGCUAAUUCCGUGCCAGCAGCCGCGGUAAUACGGGAGUGGCAAGCGUUAUCCGGAAUUAUUGGGCGUAAAGCGUCCGCAGGCGGCCCUACAAGUCUGCUGUUAAAAAGUGGAGCUUAACUCCAUCAUGGCAGUGGAAACUGUUGGGCUUGAGUGUGGUAGGGGCAGAGGGAAUUCCCGGUGUAGCGGUGAAAUGCGUAGAUAUCGGGAAGAACACCAGUGGCGAAGGCGCUCUGCUGGGCCAUCACUGACGCUCAUGGACGAAAGCCAGGGGAGCGAAAGGGAUUAGAUACCCCUGUAGUCCUGGCCGUAAACGAUGAACACUAGGUGUCGGGGGAAUCGACCCCUCCGGUGUCGUAGCCAACGCGUUAAGUGUUCCGCCUGGGGAGUACGCACGCAAGUGUGAAACUCAAAGGAAUUGACGGGGGCCCGCACAAGCGGUGGAGUAUGUGGUUUAAUUCGAUGCAACGCGAAGAACCUUACCAGGGUUUGACAUCCUGCGAAUCUCUUGGAAACUUGAGAGUGCCUUCGGGAGCGCAGUGACAGGUGGUGCAUGGCUGUCGUCAGCUCGUGUCGUGAGAUGUUGGGUUAAGUCCCGCAACGAGCGCAACCCACGUCUUUAGUUGCCAGCAUUUAGUUGGGCACUCUAGAGAGACCGCCGGUGAUAAACCGGAGGAAGGUGUGGAUGACGUCAAGUCAUCAUGCCCCUUACAUCCUGGGCUACACACGUACUACAAUGCUACGGACAAAGGGCAGCAAGUUCGCGAGGACAAGCAAAUCCCAUAAACCGUGGCUCAGUUCAGAUCGUAGGCUGCAACUCGCCUACGUGAAGGAGGAAUCGCUAGUAAUCGCAGGUCAGCAUACUGCGGUGAAUACGUUCCCGGGCCUUGUACACACCGCCCGUCACACCAUGGAAGUUGGCCACGCCCGAAGCCGUUACUCCAACCCUUGUGGAGGAGGACGUCGAAGGUGGGGCUGAUGACUGGGGUGAAGUCGUAACAAGGUAGCCGUACCGGAAGGUGCGGCUGGAUCACCUCCU
rnacentral:rRNA from 1 species